AAAUUGAAGAGUUUGAUCAUGGCUCAGAUUGAACGCUGGCGGCAGGCCUAACACAUGCAAGUCGAACGGUAACACAGAGAGCUUGCUCUCGGGUGACGAGUGGCGGACGGGUGAGUAAUGUCUGGGAAACUGCCUGAUGGAGGGGGAUAA
rnacentral:rRNA from 1 species